AAAUUGAAGAGUUUGAUCAUGGCUCAGAUUGAACGCUGGCGGCAGGCCUAACACAUGCAAGUCGAGCGGUAGCACAGAGAGCUUGCUCUCGGGUGACGAGCGGCGGACGGGUGAGUAAUGUCUGGGAAACUGCCUGAUGGAGGGGGAUAACUACUGGAAACGGUAGCUAAUACCGCAUAACGUCGCAAGACCAAAGUGGGGGACCUUCGGGCCUCAUGCCAUCAGAUGUGCCCAGAUGGGAUUAGCUAGUAGGUGGGGUAAUGGCUCACCUAGGCGACGAUCCCUAGCUGGUCUGAGAGGAUGACCAGCCACACUGGAACUGAGACACGGUCCAGACUCCUACGGGAGGCAGCAGUGGGGAAUAUUGCACAAUGGGCGCAAGCCUGAUG
rnacentral:rRNA from 1 species